rnacentral:rRNA from 1 species
AUUGAACGCUGGCGGCAUGCCUUACACAUGCAAGUCGAACGGCAUCGCGGGAAAGCUUGCUUUCCUGGCGGCGAGUGGCGAACGGGUGAGUAACACAUCGGAACGUACCGGCUAGUGGGGGAUAACCCGUCGAAAGACGGGCUAAUACCGCAUACGCUCUUCGGAGGAAAGCAGGGGACCUUUUGGCCUUGCGCUAGUCGAGCGGCCGAUGUCCGAUUAGCUAGUUGGUGGGGUAAAGGCCUACCAAGGCGACGAUCGGUAGCGGGUCUGAGAGGACGAUCCGCCACACUGGGACUGAGACACGGCCCAGACUCCUACGGGAGGCAGCAGUGGGGAAUCUUGGACAAUGGGGGCAACCCUGAUCCAGCAAUGCCGCGUGGGUGAAGAAGGCCUUCGGGUUGUAAAGCCCUUUCGGCAGGGAAGAAAUCGGCGGGGCGAAUAACCCUGCUGGAUGACGGUACCUGCAGAAGAAGCACCGGCUAACUACGUG